UACAGAGGUCCCGAGCGUUGUUCGGAUUCACUGGGCGUAAAGGGUGCGUAGGUGGUGAGGUAAGUCGGAUGUGAAAUCUCCGGGCUCAACCCGGAAAUGGCAUUGGAAACUACCUUGCUGGAGGAUUUGAGGGGGGAUUGGAAUACUUGGUGUAGCAGUGAAAUGCGUAGAUAUCAAGUGGAACACCAGUGGCGAAGGCGACUUCCUGGCCUGUUCUUGACGCUGAGGCGCGAAAGCUAGGGUAGCAAACGGG
rnacentral:rRNA from 1 species